AAACAGCAGACAUACCAGCAGUAACUCAUGGAGUACUAAAGCGACAGAAAACUAUUCGAAAACAGAGGAAACGAAGAGAUAGCAAGGAGUGGAGGGGGUUACCUCUCUGAAAGCAGCGAACUGAGGACGACGACGAGCUGGUGCGAGCUAUUCCACCACACGAUCGCGAACAGCUUCCACCCCCAACGAAAGAGACGCACUGAGAUUUACUACGACGAUUCGACGGAACAAACAGUCGAACACUUGUUAAUGAGACCGACUGUUCCUCUCUAAGGUUUCGACUUCCUCCGUUCUUGUAAAACCAACAGUGAAGAAAAUAA
rnacentral:misc_RNA from 1 species